UAAUACGUAGGUGGCAAGCGUUGUCCGGAUUUAUUGGGCGUAAAGCGCGCGCAGGCGGCUAUGUAAGUCUGGUGUUAAAGCCCGGGGCUCAACCCCGGUUCGCAUCGGAAACUGUGUAGCUUGAGUGCAGAAGAGGAAAGCGGUAUUCCACGUGUAGCGGUGAAAUGCGUAGAGAUGUGGAGGAACACCAGUGGCGAAGGCGGCUUUCUGGUCUGUAACUGACGCUGAGGCGCGAAAGCGUGGGGAGCAAACAGGAUUAGAUACCCUGGUAGUCCACGCCGUAAACGAUGAGUGCUAGGUGUUGGGGGUUUCAAUACCCUCAGUGCCGCAGCUAACGCAAUAAGCACUCCGCCUGGGGAGUACGCUCGCAAGAGUGAA
rnacentral:rRNA from 1 species